rnacentral:rRNA from 1 species
CUACGUGCCAGCAGCCGCGGUAAUACGGAAGGUCCAGGCGUUAUCCGGAUUUAUUGGGUUUAAAGGGAGCGUAGGCUGGAGAUUAAGUGUGUUGUGAAAUGUAGACGCUCAACGUCUGAAUUGCAGCGCAUACUGGUUUCCUUGAGUACGCACAACGUUGGCGGAAUUCGUCGUGUAGCGGUGAAAUGCUUAGAUAUGGCGAAGAACUCCGAUCGCGAAGGCAGGUGUCCGGGCUGCAACUGACGCUGAGGCUCGAAAGUGUGGGUAUCAAACAGGAUUAGAUACCCUGGUAGUCCACACAGUAAACGAUGUAUACUCGCGGUUUGCGAUAGACAGUAAGCCGCCAAGCGAAAGCAUUAAGUAUACCACCUGGGGAGUACGCCGGCAACGGUGAAACUCAAAGGAAUUGACGGGGGCCCGCACAAGCGGUGGAGCAUGUGGUUUAAUUCGAAGCAACGCGAAGAACCUUACCAGGUCUUGACAUCCCUCUGACCGCUCUAGAGAUAGAGUUUUC